rnacentral:rRNA from 1 species
GUGGUUUAAAUCGAUGAUACGCGAGGAACCUUACCAGGGUUUGACAUAUAACGGACUAUGGCAGAGAAGUCACAUCCCUUCGGGGCCGUUAUACAGGUGCUGCAUGGCUGUCGUCAGUUCGUGCUGUGAAGUGUUGGGCUAAGUCCCGCAACGAGCGCAACCCCUGCUGUCUGUUACCAGCAUUUCGGAUGGGGACUCAGACGGUACUGCCGGUGACAAACCGGAGGAAGGUGGGGAUGACGUCAAGUCAUCAUGGCCCUUAUGUCCAGGGCAACACACGUGCUACAAUGGUCGAUACAGAGUGCGGCGAAACCGCGAGGUGGAGCAAAUCACAGAAAACCGGUCUCAGUACGGAUUGGAGUCUGAAACUCGACUUCAUGAAGGUGGAAUCGCUAGUAAUCGCGCAUCAGCAUGGCGCGGUGAAUACGUUCCCGGGCCUUGUACACACCGCCCGUCACACCACCCGAGUUGGGGUACCCGAAGUCGGUAGUCUAACCGUAA